UGGGGAAUUUUGCACAAUGGGGGAAACCCUGAUGCAGCGACGCCGCGUGAUUUAGAAGGCCUUCGGGUUGUAAAAAUCUUUUUUACGGGAUGAAAAUGACAGUACCGUAAGAAUAAGGUCCGGCUAAAUACGUGCCAGCAGCCGCGGUAAUACGUAUGGAGCGAGCGUUGUCCGGAAUUAUUGGGCGUAAAGGGUACGCAGGCGGUUUAAUAAGUCGAAUGUUAAAGAUCGGGGCUCAACCCCGUAAAGCAUUGGAAACUGAUAAACUUGAGUAGUGGAGAGGAAAGUGGAAUUCCUAGUGUAAUGGUGAAAUACGUAGAUAUUAGGAGGAAUACCAGUAGCGAAGGCGACUUUCUGGACACAAACUGACGCUGAGGUACGAAAGCGUGGGGAGCAAACAGG
rnacentral:rRNA from 1 species